AGCCAUGCAGUAAGCACAAAGCGAACUAUUCUUUCGCCCUUUACUAAAGAAUACCAUGUGCGUGCUGCAUUCAGUGGCAUACGCCUUGAGCAGAGCGAAUUCCAUAAAAAAUUAGU
rnacentral:snRNA from 1 species